rnacentral:rRNA from 1 species
CCUACGGGGGGCUGCAGUGGGGAAUAUUGCACAAUGGGGGAAACCCUGAUGCAGCGACGCCGCGUGAGUGAAGAAGUAUUUCGGUAUGUAAAGCUCUAUCAGCAGGGAAGAAAAUGACGGUACCUGACUAAGAAGCCCCGGCUAACUACGUGCCAGCAGCCGCGGUAAUACGUAGGGGGCAAGCGUUAUCCGGAUUUACUGGGUAUAAAGGGAGCGUAGGUGGUGUGGUAAGUCAGAUGUGAAAGCCCGGGGCUCAACUCCGGGAUUGCAUUUGAAACUAUCAUGCUAGAGUGCAGGAGAGGUAAGUGGAAUUCCUAGUGUAGCGGUGAAAUGCGUAGAUAUUAGGAGGAACACCAGUGGCGAAGGCGUCUUACUGGACUGUAACUGACACUGAGGCUCGAAAGCGUGGGUAGCAAACAGGAUUAGAUACCCCAGUAGUC